rnacentral:lncRNA from 1 species
CGGUGAGGCACGUAAGUGAUCUGGAGAGAUACCCACGGGGACUCUGAUGUGCCGUGGAGAUCACUGUGGUCUCUCCAAGUGAUGGUCAUGGAGCUGCUGGUUUCGUGCAGGGCAUCGAUUUUACUUUUCGACUUGUAAUUUCCACCUCCUGGAUUCCAUUAUCACUCGCUCGAUAUCCGACAACUCGCCAUUUCUCUGGCCACUGCUCCGAGACUCAUGCAUUGCUGAGCAUAAGCAGAAGACAUUGCCUAAAACGCAUUACUACCUGGAAGUAAUGAUUGGGUUUUACACAGCCAAGACCUUGAUGGUUCUGUAUAUAAAGCAAUCAUUCCACCUGCUUCCUUCCCAGUCACGUGGACUCCCCGGCAGGAACUGAGAAUUAACCCCCUGUGCUCAGGUCCC